rnacentral:rRNA from 1 species
AUUGAACGCUGGCGGCAUGCUUUACACAUGCAAGUCGAGCGGCAGCGCGGGGGCAACCCUGGCGGCGAGCGGCGAACGGGUGAGUAAUGCAUCGGAACGUAUCCUGGAGUGGGGGAUAACCCAGCGAAAGUUGGGCUAAUACCGCAUGAGCUCUGAGGAGGAAAGCGGGGGACCUGCGAGGGCCUCGCGCUGGAGGAGCGGCCGAUGUCCGAUUAGCUAGUUGGUGGGGUAAAGGCUUACCAAGGCGACGAUCGGUAGCUGGUCUGAGAGGAUGAUCAGCCACACUGGGACUGAGACACGGCCCAGACUCCUACGGGAGGCAGCAGUGGGGAAUUUUGGACAAUGGGGGCAACCCUGAUCCAGCCAUGCCGCGUGAGUGAAGAAGGCCUUCGGGUUGUAAAGCUCUUUCGGACGGAACGAAAUGGGCGGGACUAAUACUCCUGUCUGAUGACGGUACCGUAAGAAGAAGCACCGGCUAACUACGUG